AGAGUUUGAUCCUGGCUCAGGACGAACGCUGGCGGCGCGCCUAACACAUGCAAGUCGAACGGAGCUGAGAGGAGCUUGCUUUUCUCAGCUUAGUGGCGAACGGGUGAGUAACGCGUGAGUAACCUGCCCUGGAGUGGGGGACAACAGUUGGAAACGACUGCUAAUACCGCAUAAGCCCACGAUCCGGCAUCGGAUUGAGGGAAAAGGAUUUAUUCGCUUCAGGAUGGACUCGCGUCCAAUUAGCUAGUUGGUGAGGUAACGGCCCACCAAGGCGACGAUUGGUAGCCGGACUGAGAGGUUGAACGGCCACAUUGGGACUGAGACACGGCCCAGACUCCUACGGGAGGCAGCAGUGGGGGAUAUUGCACAAUGGGGGAAACCCUGAUGCAGCGACGCCGCGUGGAGGAAGAAGGUCUUCGGAUUGUAAACUCCUGUUGUUGAGGAAGAUAAUGACGGUACUCAACAAGGAAGUGACGGCUAACUACGUGCCAGCAGCCGCGGUAAAACGUAGGUCACAAGCGUUGUCCGGAAUUACUGGGUGUAAAGGGAGCGCAGGCGGGAAGACAAGUUGGAAGUGAAAUCCAUGGGCUCAACCCAUGAACUGCUUUCAAAACUGUUUUUCUUGAGUAGUGCAGAGGUAGGCGGAAUUCCCGGUGUAGCGGUGGAAUGCGUAGAUAUCGGGAGGAACACCAGUGGCGAAGGCGGCCUACUGGGCACCAACUGACGCUGAGGCUCGAAAGUGUGGGUAGCAAACAGGAUUAGAUACCCUGGUAGUCCACACCGUAAACGAUGAUUACUAGGUGUUGGAGGAUUGACCCCUUCAGUGCCGCAGUUAACACAAUAAGUAAUCCACCUGGGGAGUACGACCGCAAGGUUG
rnacentral:rRNA from 1 species